UACGGAGGGGACUAGCGUUGUUCGGAAUUACUGGGCGUAAAGCGCACGUAGGCGGAUUUGUUAGUCAGGGGUGAAAUCCCGAGGCUCAACCUCGGAACUGCCUUUGAUACUGCAAAUCUCGAGUCCGGAAGAGGUGAGUGGAAUUCCUAGUGUAGAGGUGAAAUUCGUAGAUAUUAGGAAGAACACCAGUGGCGAAGGCGGCUCACUGGUCCGGUACUGACGCUGAGGCACGAAAGCGUGGGGAGCAAACAGGG
rnacentral:rRNA from 1 species